rnacentral:tRNA from 1 species
UAUAAGAUAGUCUAGCCAGAUAAUUGUGGGACUUGAGAUCCCGUGGAGCAUGGCUCCUCCAGGGUUCAAAUCCCUGUCUCGGCU